UUCCGCCCAGGCAGCAUAGAACCCCGAACUUUUGGGUGCCGCAGAUCAUUUCGAGGACCUCACGAGAGCUCCCUACUAUUUUCAGGGCAAAAUGCAUACAUGGCAUAAACUUGUGUUCAGCAUUCAGGGGGACCCAGGCCCUCAAUCUGUGUGGGUGGAUGGGCCCAGGUAAAGAAGAAAGAUUUCCACGGCCUUGGCACUGAGUUUCCAUCCUCCAAGCUUAGUUUGGCCCAUCAUCAAGAGAGGCAGUACUGGUUUUAUAAGGUACAAUAGGUCACCGGCCCUUUUGGCCCCAGGAAAGAACCUUUUUUUGGGUACCCAAUUACUCAACUCCAUCUCUUUGAGAAUCUCAAAUUUGAGUCGUUUGUGGGAGGUGGGGAGAUCAGGGCUCAGCUGGUGUUGGGGUGAGCAUUCUGCUCUGACCCCAAGUGCAGCAGUACUUGGAAGAACCAGGGGGUCUUGAGGGGCGGUUUUUUUAUGCUCCGCCCCCUCACCUAAAACAGGGAAGUGCACGAAUCAGCCUAGAGAAAGUAUCUUGUUUGGAGCUUGCUGGCUAUUUUUAGCCAGUAUCUUUAGAGUUUAAAAAUACUCUGAGAGGCAGCAGUGUGUGCUGUUACUCAUCUGUGGGCUCCUUCUGUUCCUCCUGGCGUGCUCAUCCCCACAUGUACAUGAGCAUUGCACACAUGACCACAGACACAUGGAGAUUGGGCCCGGGACACAUGUGUGGGCUAGGCCACCCACAAAACAGCAAUUUAGUGAUAAUGGGAGGGAGAGUAUCAUCACCAUGACCUCUUCUAGUAUUGGUGACAGCAGGAGGGGGCAGGUGACAGGAACCGCAGGCUGCUGUGCUCUGUGAUCCUUGAGGGCAGUCUUGUCUGGAGUGUGAUCUCCAGACUCUGACCUAACCUGGACACGGCAACAGCCUUUUUUCCUCCAAGCUUCCUUCUCUCCAGCUACGCCCUUUAGAGCAGGUCCUGUAUUGUCUGCACAAAGCUUGAAUUCAAUAGCAUUGUGUCUUCUCUGAAACAACUACAGUGGCUUACAUCCAGUCGGGAAGACUCAGAUGAAGCCCAUAGAGGUCAAAUGACUUGCCAGGAUCCGAAGGCUAAUAAAUGAUGACACUGUGGAAUUUUGAGCCCAGACCUGUCUAAUAACUCACACUUUUAACAAUUGCUAAGAAAUUCUGGGAUGCCCUUUCUGCUCUCUGCCAAUUACUUACUUGGAAAUUCUGCUCAAAACUCAUAUCUUCCACAGUCUUCUCUAAUUAACUCCACCCAGUUCUAAACACCCCAUUACUGCAUAUCCUCAGUCUACUACUAGCAUUCAGUUUGCAUGCUAUUAAUUCAUCUUAAUGUGUUUAUUUUUGUUUUAUAAGUGUCUCUAAACUUUCGUAAAUGGUC